UCCAGACCCCAGGCACGCAAGGUCUUCAGGGCUCGGGCACCGGAGCUGGCAGCACUUCUAGCAGUCACAAGGACUGCACAAAAGUUUUCGGCAGGUAUGGAAAAAUUCACUCAAAUACAAAGAGAAAUGAAGCACGGUGGCUCGGUGGUUAGCAGAGCAGCGGUGGGGACCAAGGGACAGAGGCCUUUGGCUGUCCGGGCAUGCUGGGAGUUGUAGAUUGGCAACAGCUGGAGGCGCACUGUUUGGAAAACACUGCCUGGACAGUUUACCCUAAGCUCUGCUCCAGCUAAUGUUGACACCAGGAGACACAUAAUAGAUGUGCACAGUGCCCGAUGGAUGUGUCCAGCUGCAAGUAACAGAUUUCCUCCAUUAAAAC